CCCGGUCCUCGGUGGUGGCUUCCGGAACGAGAGACUUCCGUGAGCUUCGAUCGAUGACCGUC
rfam:Actinomyces nasicola strain DSM 19116 Scaffold1, whole genome shotgun sequence.